GCAGGUAGCUGAGUGGAGGUUUGCUAAGCUUAUGUCAGGAGAGUUCUAUCAGCUAUAGAAGCAGGAUUUUGAUGUGGUCUUUCAACCAUAAUCUAGGGGAAGAGUGAAAUUGGAACUUGGAAAAGCAGCUUGGAGAUUCACGUUGUGCUGAAUAUCUUGACUUUGUGAAUGGUUUGAAUGAAUUUCAAUCAGCAAGAAGCAGAGUUACAACAGGAUGUACACACCUUAUAACUGUGAUUUGGGGCAACUUUUGAAGCUGGUUAAGGUGCUUUAACUCGUGGUGAAGGGGAAUUUAAGUUAAAUCCUAAAUUGGGGGAUUCAGCUAUCAUGGGCAUUGUAGAUAUUGAUAAUGACAAAGCCAAUCCUCAAAUGUGCAGCCUUUAUGCAUCGGAGAUAUAUACAAAUCUGUGUGCUACAGAGGACAUUGGAGGAGGGUCUGCAGAAACUUUCAGCGAUAUCUUGGAUAUGCAAGAACAAAGUAGAAGAUCAACUGAUGAAGAUUCAGGAGCUUUGGAACAAGAAGUUACAGAGAAGUAGUGCCAUAAAUAUAAUCACUACAACAAAACUGCUUUUUAGUGGCUGAUUAUGUGAAAUUACUUAGGGUUCAUCUUCCUGGAGAUUUCAAGCUACCAAGUGGCAAUAUCUUAAGGAUUGAUGAUGCUAGGUAACAUCAUGCUAUUUGAUCUCUAGAAACUUGCUGAACUGGUAAACUAGUUUCUUUGAUAGUGGUCUUGCUUUCACACUCUUUUCUCAGUUACAGGUUAUACUUGGCAAAUAAAAACAGGUUAUACUUGGCACAUAAAGUAUAUAAUCCAAUUAAUAUUUAGACUAAAGAUGGAGCGAAACCAUCUCAGGCACACAUAUUCAUAGAAACUCAUAAGCCGCGUAAAGAUGGAAGGCCAAUUGACAAUGAGUCACUUCGAAAAGUUGUAAGUUUUUUUUUUAAUUAAUUAAAUUUCACCUAAAAAAAGUAACUCCUCUGUGUGAGAAGAUCUACUUCUUGUCUCACCUGCUGGCUCUUGUUUGUGCCCUUUAAAUUUGAGUUGAGAAUGAUAUGGUUAAUUUUGUAUUAUCUAUUCCUAGGUUAUCAGUAGGAUUCUUAUUUGUGAAAAAUAGGCCCUCCCACUUUCUUUCUUCUCUUAUAUUCUUUAUAUUUCUAUGCAAUGCUAUAUGGCCAUUGGCUUAAUCAAUUGGAGUCUCGGAGAAAAAUAAAAACACCUUGCUAAAUUUUGUCGAGCUUUUGCUAUUGCGGAGAUCAACCAUGCAAGAGCUGGCGGAUUACGGGUAGAGCUUGUAAGUAAUAGAGGUUUGAAGCUGGAGAUCCGAAUACUCCAUCAAACAUUGAAACUGUGAUUUAUCGUAAAUCAUAGAUGUUUAACGUCAUUAGAAUUUAUUAUUUUUUGGCUGGAAUUCAAACAAGCAUUUUGUAGUUGAAACUCAUGUAUGAAAUUUAUUUUUAAUAUUGAAACUGUGAUGUAUUCAAUCAAGUUUAAGAAUUUAACAUAUUUUGAAAACUUUA